rnacentral:rRNA from 1 species
AUACGUAGGGGGCGAGCGUUGUCCGGAAUGAUUGGGCGUAAAGGGCGCGUAGGCGGCACGGUAAGUCUGGAGUGAAAGUCCUGCUUUCAAGGUGGGAAUUGCUUUGGAUACUGCCGCGCUUGAGUGCAGGAGAGGUUAUCGGAAUUCCCGGUGUAGCGGUGAAAUGCGUAGAGAUCGGGAGGAACACCAGUGGCGAAGGCGGGUAACUGGACUGCAACUGACGCUGAGGCGCGAAAGUGUGGGGAGCAAACAGGAUUAGAUACCCUGGUAGUCCACACUGUAAACGAUGAAUGCUAGGUGUAAGAGGUAUCGACCCCUUUUGUGCCGGAGUCAACACAAUAAGCAUUCCGCCUGGGGAGUACGGCCGCAAGGUUGAAACUUAAAGGAAUUGGCGGGG